GGUGAGUAACACGUGGAUAACCUACCUAUAAGACUGGGAUAACUUCGGGAAACCGGAGCUAAUACCGGAUAAUAUUUUGAACCGCAUGGUUCAAAAGUGGAAGACGGUCUUGCUGUCACUUAUAGAUGGAUCCGCGCUGCAUUAGCUAGUUGGUAAGGUAACGGCUUACCAAGGCAACGAUGCAUAGCCGACCUGAGAGGGUGAUCGGCCACACUGGAACUGAGACACGGUCCAG
rnacentral:rRNA from 1 species